GCAUCUGUGGACUUCCUGCAGCAGAAGCAGACUCCAGUCUCUGGUCUGCCAGUCUUCAGAGGCUGUAGGCAAGGUUUUUGAAAGGUUCACAGAAGCUCCUCUCACCUGGAUUAAGGGAAUUCCUGAGCAACAACUUUCAGAGAUAAAUCAACUCACUGCAGUUGCAUCCUGUCCAUGGACCAGUGACUCAGAGUUCGGUCAGAGAUGCUUGUCCGUGGAGUGAUAAUCUGAUUUCAUCAGUGGGUUGAUGCUUUGUCAACAGAGGAAUGUCGGGAGAAUCUAUUACAGAAUGGACAUCCAA